GGGUGACAUCGUACCUUUUGUAUAAUGGGUCAGCGACUUAGUCUGGCGAGCAAGCUUAAGCCGAUAGGUGGAGGCGUAGCGAAAGCGAGUCUGAACAGGGCGUUCAGUUCGUCGGAUUAGACCCGAAACCGAGUGAUCUAGCCAUGAGCAGGUUGAAGGUGCGGUAACACGCACUGAAGGACCGAACCCAUAUCUGUUGCAAUAGAUCGGGAUGACUUGUGGCUAGGGGUGAAAGGCCAAUCAAACUCGGAAAUAGCUGGUUCUCCGCGAAAUCUAUUUAGGUAGAGCGUCGGAUGAACACUCCAGGGGGUAGAGCACUGAAUGGGCUAGGGGGUCUCACCGACUUACCAAACCUAAUCAAACUCCGAAUACCUGGAAGUGCUAUCCGGCAGACACACGGCGGGUGCUAACGUCCGUCGUGGAGAGGGAAACAACCCUGACCACCAUCUAAGGUCCCCAAGUUAUGGCUAAGUGGGAAAGGAUGUGAAGACUCCAAAACAACCAGGAUGUUGGCUUAGAAGCAGCCAUCAUUUAAAGAAAGCGUAACAGCUCACUGGUCUAAUCAAGAGUCUUUGCGCCGAAAAUGUACCGGGGCUCAAGCCAUACACCGAAGCUGUGGGCUCGUCUUUGACGAGCGGUAGCGGAGCGUUCCGUAGGCCUGUGAAGGCGGACCCGUGAGGGCUGCUGGAGGUAUCGGAAGUGCGAAUGCUGACAKKASYRAGCUGAUWRMKSGAGUGAGAGACUCCCUCGCCGAAAGUCCAAGGGUUCCUGCUUAAAGUUAAUCUGAGCAGGGUUAGCCGGCCCCUAAGGCGAGGCCGAAAGGCGUAGUCGAUGGGAACCACGUUAAUAAUCGUGGGCCUGGUGGAGAGUGACGGAUCUCGUGUAUCGUACGGUCUUAUUGGAUUGAUCGUGCGGUGAAGAGGUUCCAGGAAAUAGCCCCACCGUAUAGACCGUACCCGAAACCGACACAGGUGGACUGGUAGAGUAUACCAAGGCGCUUGAGAGAACUAUGUUGAAGGAACUCGGCAAAUUGCACGCGUAACUUCGGAAGAAGCGUGACCCCCAUUUACGCAAGUAGGUGGGGGUGGCACAGACCAGGGGGUAGCGACUGUUUAUCAAAAACACAGGGCUCUGCGAAGUCGCAAGACGACGUAUAGGGUCUGACGCCUGCCCGGUGCUGGAAGGUUAAGAGGAGGGGUGCAAGCUCUGAAUCGAAGCCCCAGUAAACGGCGGCCGUAACUAUAACGGUCCUAAGGUAGCGAAAUUCCUUGUCGGGUAAGUUCCGACCUGCACGAAUGGCGUAACGACUUCCCCGCUGUCUCCAACAUAGACUCAGUGAAAUUGAAUUCCCCGUGAAGAUGCGGGGUUCCUGCGGUCAGACGGAAAGACCCCGUGCACCUUUACUAUAGCUUUACACUGGCAUUCGUGUCGGCAUGUGUAGGAUAGGUGGUAGGCUUUGAAGCGUGGGCGCCAGCUCGCGUGGAGCCAUCCUUGAAAUACCACCCUUAUCGUCAUGGAUGUCUAACCGCGGUCCGUCAUCCGGAUCCGGGACAGUGUAUGGUGGGUAGUUUGACUGGGGCGGUCGCCUCCUAAAGAGUAACGGAGGCGCGCGAUGGUGGGCUCAGACCGGUCGGAAAUCGGUCGUCGAGUGCAAUGGCAUAAGCCCGCCUGACUGCGAGACAGACAAGUCGAGCAGAGACGAAAGUCGGUCAUAGUGAUCCGGUGGUCCCGCGUGGAAGGGCCAUCGCUCAACGGAUAAAAGGUACGCCGGGGAUAACAGGCUGAUGACCCCCAAGAGUCCAUAUCGACGGGGUUGUUUGGCACCUCGAUGUCGGCUCAUCGCAUCCUGGGGCUGGAGCAGGUCCCAAGGGUUUGGCUGUUCGCCAAUUAAAGCGGUACGUGAGCUGGGUUCAGAACGUCGUGAGACAGUUCGGUCCCUAUCUGCCGUGGGUGCAGGAGAAUUGACAGGAUCUGACCCUAGUACGAGAGGACCGGGUUGGACGUACCUCUGGUGGACCUGUUGUGGCGCCAGCCGCAGUGCAGGGUAGCUAUGUACGGUCGGGAUAACCGCUGAAGGCAUCUAAGCGGGAAACCCACCUGAAAACGAGUUCUCCCUAUCAGAGCCGUGGUAGACCACCACGUUGAUAGGCCGGGUGUGGACGUGCGGCAACGCAUGAAGCUUACCGGUACUAAUCGCUCGAUCGGCUUGAUCAUUCU
rnacentral:rRNA from 1 species